ACACGUAGGGGGCGAGCGUUGUUCGGAAUCAUUGGGCGUAAAGGGCGCGCAGGCGGCCCCGAAAGCCCGGCGUGAAAUCCACAGGCCCAACCUGUGGGGGUCGCCGGGGACUUUGGGGCUGGAGUCCAGGAGGCGGCUCCGGAAUUCCCGGUGUAGGGGUGAAAUCUGUAGAUAUCGGGAAGAACACCAUUGGCGAAGGCGGGGGCCGAGCCAUGGACUGACGCUGAGGCGCGAAGGUGCGGGGAGCGAACAGGUUUAGAUACCCUGGUAGUCCGCACAGUAAACGAUGUGCACCAGGUGGCGGGGGGCUGACCCCCGGUACCGAAGCGAACGCAGUAAGUGCACCGCCUGGGGAGUAUGCCCGCAAGGGUGAA
rnacentral:rRNA from 1 species